UACGUAGGGGGCUAGCGUUGUCCGGAAUCAUUGGGCGUAAAGCGCGCGUAGGCGGCCCGGUAAGUCCGCUGUAAAAGUCCAGGGCUCAACCCUGGGAUGCCGAUCGAUACUGCCGGACUAGAGUCCGGAAGAGGCGAGUGGAAUUCCCGGUGAUAGCGGUGAAAUGCGCAGAUAUCAGGAGGAACACCGGUGGCGAAGGCGGGUCUCUGGGCCGAUAUUGACGCUGAGGAGCGAAAGCCAGGGGAGCAAACGGG
rnacentral:rRNA from 1 species